AGCAAAAGCCAAAGCAGCCAACAAAGCCACAGCCCUAUCGGCUGUACUGGGCUCUGCCUUUUGGGCAGCUCGCCGGCCACUCCCCAAAAGCAGAGCAUUCCAUCCUUUCUCUUUUUAAACCCACGUCAUCAUCUGAUCAUAAUGGAAAUCAAUCUCCUCAAACCACCAUGCAAAGGCGUAUCCAUGGCAACCUCAAAAGGAAGGACACAGAGAUGAUGCUUCAGUGGCUGCAGCAGGAAAAGCUCUUCGCCUCUCGGUACCUUAAGUAUACCUGAGUAGCCAGUGGUCAACAUGGGUUUGCUGCUCUCCUCACUGCAAUAAAUGACGUCCAGCCCUGACUGAAAACUGCGCACCGACCGCAGCCGGGAUUACAUCAAUCAGGCACAAAGCUGGACACCUGGGACAGGAUAAGCGCACGCGCACUGUGCCUGGGAAGCCGAUUAGGACCAUAAGAAAUCGGCGUGUCGUGGCGAGCGCCCUCUUUCGGCGGAGGGGAGAAAGCGCAGAAGGGCUGGAGGACUUAUUUGCAAGUGUUAAACUGCUAAUUAAAACAAUAGCGAUAAACCAUAUCU
rnacentral:lncRNA from 1 species